CUGUCAUGCCUUUAUCUAUGUUUAGAAUGUACACGAGACUGCCUGUAUCUUUGAUUAGAAUGUACCAGUAGGCUGCUUAAGAUGGACAAGCCAUAAUAUUAAUGGCUCUCACAGCAUAAUAUCGAUGGUUGUCACUGCUAAUAUGGACAAAAAAGAUGGGCGUACAAUUUUAGCCGCGAAGAGUCGGAGGCAUUAAUUGUGUCGGUGGAGGAGAGGAAACACCACCUUUUCGGGAAGUUUUCUUCUAAAUUAUUGUCCCAGGAUAAAGACUUGAAGUGGCGAGGUGGCGGAUGCUGUCACAUCUGUGUGCGGAGUUUUGAGGACUGUGAACGCAGUUAAAAAAAAGUGGUCUACCAUCGCCAGUGAAGCGAAGAAGAGGGACGCUUUAUUAAAAAAGGACCAAGGGAGGAGAGAUGGAGGCCAGCCAGAGGUGAAGCCACUGACUGCCUCAGAGGAAAGGAUCCUUGCCGUGAUGGGAAAGGUCUACAUGGAAGGGAUCUCCAAUGGCUCAGAGGUCGGACUGCCAGAGCCAGCUUUGCCUCCUGAAUCGUCAACAGCGUCAGCUGAGCCACAGGUCAUCCUAACGCUGGUGUCAAGUUGUAAGGAUGAUGGGACAUUGCCACCACCAGUUGUACUUCCAUUACCUGCCAAAAAGAACAGGACUACCCAAGAGCCCUGCAAUAGGAGCUCCUCAACUUGGAGAGGGAGAAGGUGCUCCUGAUGAAAGAAUGACUGCCAAUAGAAAAGGAGAGAUUGAAA